GACGUAGGGCGCGAGCGUUGUCCGGAUUUAUUGGGCGUAAAGAGCUCGUAGGCGGCUUGUCGCGUCGUCCGUGAAAACUUGGGGCUCAACCCCGAGCUUGCGGUCGAUACGGGCAGGCUAGAGUUCGGUAGGGGAGACUGGAAUUCCUGGUGUAGCGGUGAAAUGCGCAGAUAUCAGGAGGAACACCGGUGGCGAAGGCGGGUCUCUGGGCCGAUACUGACGCUGAGGAGCGAAAGCGUGGGGAGCGAACAGG
rnacentral:rRNA from 1 species